CUCCGUCGCUGUGGCCGCCGCCGCCGCCGCCGUCUACGCCUUCUAGAUCGAUCUCUCGUUGCGGCGGAUGCUCGAUCGGAUGAUCGGACGGUGGUCAUCGUCGCUGGAUCUGUUCUCUCUUAUUUUUCUGACCCGAUCCGUUGUUGUUUUAUCAUCCCAUCAUUAUUCUUGUCAUUACCUUUUUAUUUAUUUCUCCCCUUUCUUAGUUUUUCCCUUUUUUUAAUUUUGUGGGUUUUUCUUUUCGCUGUGGUUGUAGGCAUGACCGAGUGCGUCUGAGUAGUGGUGGUGGUGGUGGUGGUUAUCAUUGUUGUUAUAUCAUUAUUAUUUUAGUGAUUCUUUUUCCUCAUUAUUCCAAACCUACCCUCCCUCUCUUGCUCUUUGCUUAAAUCGCGUACUAAUAUAUAUGAGGGCAAGAUGGGAAAUUGGAUAACGCGGAGAUUGGAGCGGGACGAAAGAGGCGGUUCGUGCUUCGUGGUGGAUGCCGACUUUAGUUAGUGGAGAGCUUUUCUUAGUCUUCUGCAUCUCUCCAAAUUUUUUAAUUAAUUAAUAUAUUUUUAGGAAUAAAAAAAUAAAUAGGUCACGAGGGGACGCAGGCCAGCUGUAUGGCAAAAUGGACCCCAAGGCCAUGUGCGUGGGCUUCGGAAUCCCAUGGCGCGUGGUUAGAGAUAUUAAAAAAAGUUAGACAUGGUGGCGACUAGGGAGAGACUCAAGAGAGAUAUCUCUAGAGAGGGGGGAGAGGCGGUGGAAGCCAGGUGGCUGCACGUGUCGGUGGUCUAGGUGCGGGGGAAGGGAAGGGAUGGUUGAGAUUUGUCGUUGACGAGGGAGGGAAGGGGAUGUGGCCGUGCGCGCGUGGAGAGAAUUAUGGUUUGGUGAGAACGGGAGGGAGUUGGCAUUUGGUUGUAUGUGUGAUGAUGUGAUCUGUUUUAGGAGAAAGUACUAGGGAUGGUCGGUGGAAGGUAGCAGCUAGCCUGGAUUUCUAGAACCGUCGCGGGCCGGGUUUUCCAUCAAGUCAAAUUUUUUCCAUUUGUAAAAAUGUUGUGGUUGGCUUCGCUGGGCAUAUUGGAAUCAAAUAAGCAUCCUUACAAGUUAUAUCUCUGAUCAGAUAUUAUUUUGUGCUGUAAUGAAUGAUGAAAUUGUACUAUUUCUACAUACCAAGUACUUUAAUUUCGAUGAUGCAUUAGUAUAUUUCGGUGUGUUAAUGUUCUCAUACCAUCUGUUUGUGCUAUCCCACUCAAUGACGAGCAAAAGGUAGCCGACCGUUGAUUAAUUAGGCUGGAUGGGAUUGCUCUCAAUGGAGAACUUGUCCUGACGGGAUCUUCGAGGAUAGUAAGGUGCAUCCGAGGACAGUGGUGGAUAAAGCAUUGGUUCAUGCUGUCGAGGCAACCAGUAUCAUUGUUGUGAUAGUGUCUGGAUUGGUUAGGGACAUCUGGAGCUCUUAUUCAACUUAUGUAGUGGCCAUGAUAGUUUUUGUUUUUUGGGAGUCUCCCACCACCUAGCUUACUAAAAGUAAAUUUCGAUGGUAGUAUUUUGGAGAGUGCAGGUAGAGGAGGAGUGGGCUUUGUGAUUCGAAACUACGAAUCCAGGCUCGUAGCAGUUAGCAGUCGAUGCACCUCCGAUAAGGCAUAGCGCAUGCGAAGCAUGUGUUGGGUGCAGAUAGUAUUUACUUGGAAGUUGACACGACUACGGUGAUCGGCUGGAUUUAGAGACGAUGCAACAGUGAUAAUUAGUAUCCACUGCUUCAAAAUAUCUACGGGAUUUCGAGGGUAGUCCUUGACGAUUUCCAAAUCACUCAUAUUUUUCAGAAAGCGAAUAGCGUCGCUGAUUGGGUUGCUUAUUUUGCUGCGCAUCACUCGAAAGAAUUUUUUGAGGCUGUUUGCAUCACUCUUCGUCAGUUUUUUUUUUGUCGGAUAAUUCUGGAUGCCCUUACGGGAUGUGAGCCGUUGGUGUAAAUAAAUAAAAUAAAAAAAAAAAGGAAGGAGGAGGAGAAGGAGGAGAGAGAUAACUUGUCCUUGCGGGACCUGGUGGUGGUAUAUGAGGGCCAUUUACUUGAGUACUCCUGUAACUUAGAAAGCUCUUUUUUCGCAUGGUACCAGGGAUUCAUGUGAAUCGUGGGAAUUGGUGCCCUACCGAGCACUGUUGAAUGUUGACUUGUCAAAUUUGAUGGAGUUUAUGUGCAGUAAUGCGAGUGCCGAAGCGUACGUAAUUGCUGAGUUAAUACUCUCAUACUAGAAAUUUAGCAGGUGAUUGAUAAUCCAAGGGUAGCCGACAGCUGUUCGUUUACUUAGUAUGGUACUUCUCAUGAUGGCUUGCUGUUGGGGCAGGUCGAGGGCUCAAAUCUAGGUCCUCGAUCAUAUAUUCUUCUUAAAAAAAGACAAAAUCUAAGAGCCAAAUUAUUUUGGGCAUACGAGAUUUCAUGUAAAAACCAUGGGAGUUUAGAUUUGGACAGGCGGAUAUUCUCAUUGAAAACUAAGGUGGUGGAAGUUGUAACGAAAGAAGCCUUCAGAUUGUUCUCACCAUGGGAAGCGGCAGAUAGGAAGCUAGCUACUUAUCUAAAUUAAACCCACGAGAAGAACAUGCAUUGAUUCGGUUUGUCUUCUUGUUGUUUUAUGUUGCUCUGCUAUGGGACUCUUGUCUUAGUAUGGCCUCUGGCUAAGGAGGGCUGCAAAUAGGUCGGAUUGAAUCGGAGUAUGCUUGAAUCUGACCAAAUUAGGUUUUAUGUACGGAUCUUGAUAUUAGAUUCGAACCCAGUUCGGUAGACAAUUAAGUUGGAUAGGAUCGGGUCUAUGGAAGAUAUUUUAGAUCUAGUGGGCCAUUCGAAUUGGUUGGUGUCAUCUAUGACCGGACCAAAUCCACAAUAUUCAACACUAAAUUAAGGCUGAUUCGGUCUAGAUUUAUAUUUGUUUAAUAAUAAGAUUUUAUUAAAAAAUCUUCCUACAUCUGGAUCAAACUGAAUUUUGACUACUAUAAAAUUGUUUACUAAUACGAUUAAAACUCAAUGAAUUAAUAUUUAUCUUAAAACCUCAACGGCUAGUGUUUCUUAAUGUAUUGUAAUUAGUUUUAGCACUUUUCUCUUGAAAGAGAAAAAGAAGAAAUAACUUCAAAUAUUUUUUUUGAGUCAAUUCGGAUCAGGUCGGAUUAUGGAUAACUAAUAAGAAGUCUCAAAAUUGACCCAUAUAGUGUACAAAUCAGGUCGGUAGGAUCAAGUCAAAGUUUAUGAAAUCUUAAUCUGAACCGAAAUGUGGAAUGAGUCUAAUAUUUGAACCUUCUUCGGCUCCACGGCUCUUCAAGAAUGGGAUUGGUCGGGACGAAUCAUAGGUCAACCUGAUCCACUUACAGCUUUACAACUAAGUCGAGUUCUUCAUGGUAAUUUCUAUUGUCUUUUCAUAAUCUCUAUUAAAUCAAUGGGUGGGAAGACUAACCAAUUGACCAGUAGUGUUACUUCGGCUCUUAGCUAAGUCCCCCUUUUGCGAAGUUCUUCCUGGUUGCUGCACUAUCCUCUCAUGGGAGAAUUCGAAAUCAUUAUCUCCAGAAAAUCUGAGCUUUGAUAUCAUAUUAACAAACAAAUUUAUCCCAGAAACUUAAACCAAUAGAGAAACAAUUGACAACGUCUACCGGUCUUAACUCCCUUUUUUGUUGAUUAAAAAAAAUUAAUGAGACGAGUAGAUCCACCUAUCACAAUGUAAUACUUUCCACGGACUCACGGAUAAAGGAUCAUGACAUAUUUGUCCCUUUUGGGGUAUCAUUUCAGAUCAUUUGCCAUGUUCCUGUGAAACGCCAUUGCAUACCUAUCUUGAAUAAACGGACCCUCUCUGUUUAGUUCUUUAUUUUUUUAUUUUUUUAGGGGAGAGAAUCAUGAAAGGUGAGCUAGGUAAGAGAAUGGGUUCUUUUUAUUAGGGUGGGGUUCACAGUCAUCCAUGCCUAGUAAUCACAUGGAUGGCACUUCCAUUAGUACCAAAUCCUACCAAAUUAAUCUCAUAUUACUUUUUUAUACACCUCUUCUAAUAGAAGAUCGUCUCGAUUUAGAUUUUGCUACAAAUUUACUUUUAUUGCAGGAAUAAUGCUUCUGCAGUUCAACGAACCUGACUUGCAGGUCAAUCACAAUAACUUAAAAUCACAAAUCAUCUAUAGACCCAGUCAUUGUACAAAUGUGACAUUGCAUUUGGCAGUUGGCCAUAACGACUAGGGUGGCCAUCUGGUCUCUCAGCAACAUGGCUUCAGUAGCAUCCAGUAACCUAAACUUGAGACCCAUUCUCUCUGCCCUCCCUCUCAGCUGCUUUUUGAACUCCUCCACUUUGUGUCAAAUAGAGCUCAGGAUAGAGCCCGUCGAAAUUAUAUCUUGCACCAUAUGCAUCAUAUGGCUCUACACUAUGCCAAUCACCUCGGCUCGUUCCUGUGGGCUCCACUCAUUAUAUGCUCGUCUCGAUGGUUGACCCAUAGGAACAAGCUGAGGUGAUCUUGGUCGUCCAAUUGGUUCAAGGUAGAGGUUGCAGAAACAGGUGAGUGUUGGGCAUAAGGCAGACCAGAUGUUGGCUAGGCUGAAGUUGCGAAUGGGAUAGAAAUGGCACCUGGACUUGUCAUCCAAUGUAGCAGGUGAGACAUCGGCGAAAUGUGUCACCUGAAAAUAAUGGAUGAAGGAAGUGCAUGGUCAAGAUCUCACACAUUCGUGUAAUUAAUUCAAUUUUUUUUUUUGUUCCAACUACUUGGAUAUCCUUAAAUAAAAUGCCAUGGUUCUGUAGUUUACAAUAUUCUUUUAUUUUUUAUUAAAAAUUUUGCAGAGAAAAUUUUCAAAAAUAAUUCCAACUCCCGCAUCUGUGAAUCGAUGCAUUAUUGGUGAUUUACACGAAUCUUGAGCAAUGCAAGAGGCAUAUAUUUUCCUAAGCAAAUAGUUAGCUGGAUCCACAUAUGGUCUCGGACUUGAAAGCUGUUUCAGCCAAGCUUCAAAUUGACUGUUAGAAUAAUUUGGGUACAAAUGAGUGGCGCUGGCAUUAGUUCAACCACCAGGAGCUGAGCUGAUCUGGAUUCAAGUUUAGGAAAGUGUUCCAGGCUUAACCCUAAGCUGAAGUGCUACCACGGCCAGGAUAGAGUCUAAAUUUUUUGUGACAAUAAGUUAUUAAUGUUUGGACCAAGCUGGGUAUCGUUGCCACCGUCGUAUCGGAGAGGGGUUGUAUCUUUUGCGCCAAAGAAGAAUUUAUUUUCCUCCAUGCCAAUCUACCAUUAGAUCGUGCAACAGUCGGUUUGAGAUCUAUGCAAGUGAAUGAAUGAAUGAAUGAGUUCAUCUGCAUAGGACACAAUCUGUUGGUCAAGAAGAUCAAUCAUUCUUUCCUGUGGAAGAUUCGAUCUGAAUCGAUCUUCCCAAAUAUUCUUCUGAUACUCCGGAGGAGUCGAAGAUACCCCACGAUCCCACCAAAAUGGUUGAAUGGCAUAACUUAAACUUGAGAUUAAAACAUUAGCAGCUGGUUGCCUGGAUUUCAAAUCAAAGAACUUACAAAAUACAUGGUGGGGGCUGUAAUGCUCUGUAGAUAAUUGCCCUUUUGAUUAUCAUUUAAAAUGGUCAAUUUUUCAAGUACUUCAUUGGGGUAGGCAACGUGCCACAGGAAUUCAAAGUGUCAGCAAUACUGUUUUUAACUUGCUGAAAAGCUACAAGCAUGGUUGAAGAACCUAACGUUUCAAUUUCAUACACAGUUAGUCAUCUAGCCCACUCGAAUAGCUCCAUCUCCAUUUUCCAUGAUGCCUAACCACACAAAAAGCUUAAAUACAUAAUUCAUAUAUGACCAUCCACAUCCAGGCCUGGUUCCUUAUGUCACUAAAGCUACAUUGAUAAAAAAAAAAAAUCGAAAUAAAGAUUUAGAAAUCAGUCCUAAAUGCAGCAUGAAUCAUUUUUACAAAACCCAUAACUGUAACAACCGGCUUCAUGCAAUUUCCACAUCUUCUUUUGAGAAAUAUGAUGCAAUUAUCUCAUCACCAUGAGAUCAUCAGGAGUUGAUAAUAUUAAUAUUUAAAAUUAAGAAAGGAAAUGAAAAUAUUAUCCUGUUACUAGUCGCAACUCGCUCCCCUGACUUUUUUUUCUCCAGGGUUUGGCGUGUAAACGCGCAUAAAUCACCAUCAAAACACCCUGCAUUUUAGUAUGCAAAUAGAUGCUCCAAUGGGGUCUUCUGAAAGAAGUAGUAUAUGCCUGGCGUUUUUAUGGCCAAAGAAACAAGGAGGACCAUUCCACCCAGCCACCUUCCACCUUACACCACUAGCCAAUUACUCCUCUUCUUCUUCUUCUAAGAAACGCUUUGAAUUCAGUGGCGUAACAAAACUUAAUCAGACUUGAAGGGUAACUCUCUGCAUUCUUACCUGGCCUGAAGGUCAGUUUUCUGAGUAGGUUGGGUGAGCCAUCAACUUGAUGUGGAUUUUUGUCAGCUAAACAGAGCAAAUAACUUCAAAACAGAACAAGACAUUGUGAGUCGCGAUCGACGAGAAGAAAAGACGAGAGCGCGUUAGGUAUAGUGACUUUAUUCUACCAACUGCUUCCUCCGCUUCAGGUCUUCUAUUAAAUAAUUUUAAUCUAUCAAUCUUGUUUUCCUAUUUCACGUUUUUUUUUCUCACAAUCUUCAUCUCUUCCUCUUGUCACCUACCAUUUUUUUUUUAAUUUUCCUUUCUUUUAAACAUGCUGCUAGAAGCUUUGAUUUUAUUUAUGGAUGUCUUUUUUUCGCACUAUGCAUUAUCUACUGCAAGGUUUUGGGAUACGGCAAGCCCCCGUCAAGGCUUGUAACUUCACUACUUUCGCACUAUUCGAAAACUAAUUUACUACUUAGCUUCUUAAUAUGCAUCCUCAAAAUGAGUGCAGGGAACUUGAGUUAAUCUCCCUCUUGAUGGCUGUUGUUUUCUAAAAUUACUACGUUAAGCACCAUGCCUUUCUCUCUUAUCAUGUCAAUGAGGCCUAAGGAAACCAUGCCCUUUUGCACCGCUUCUGCCUCUGCCAUGAAGAUAUUAGAGACCUGAAUAGAUUUGAAAAUCCUGAAAAGAUGAGUUUCCGUUUACCAUCUUGAAGUAUACUUCCAAUUUCUGCAUUGUGACCUGUUUCAAAAACUUUAUGGAUCAGCAUUUUUUUUGUGGUGAUAAUGCGGUUUGGGUUGUAUCAUUUGUGUGAAAGAAAAUUCACCAUCACAUAUCCACUGUUUGGUUGCGCAAUAGCUACAUUGAGAUCUGUGUAGGUGGAUGAAUAAAUAAGUUAGGAGUGUUUGAGUUAUGUGCGCACAAGAUGCCAUCCAAUGGAUGACAUCGUUAAAGAUCGAUCGCUCGGCACAAAAGAUGCAACCCUAACCUGAUUAAAGGAGGUGGUGAGGUGAUUCACAUACACUAGCCUUCAGUCUUCACACAUUUGACCAUACCUCCAUCACCUUAAAUCAAGACCAGGAGAAAGAGAACCGCUAUGAGGCCCAAAUGUGGUCACCCGCUUCUAUCUAACGUUUCCAGAUUCAAAGUGAUUUGUGUGAUUUGGGGGACAUUCAAGGGGUAGCACGUCGUAUUGGAAAUCACUUCCGUGACUAGUUUCCCCCGCAUAGUUUUUUUUUUAAAAAAAGAGAGAAUAUCUUGUUAUAACUUGAUUUGGAUUGUGGUGCUACCAGCAGUGAUGUAACCUCAUUAGUUAUCAUUUUUCUUGGAUGUACGACAUGUGAAGCGUUCAAUUAUUCAGAUCUCAAUGAUAUGCCGCAUUCAAAUAAAAAUAAUUGAACUGAAUAAUUAUAUUGUGAGUGAAUGCAUCUUCCCUUCUUUCAACAAACUAUAACGGAAAAAAACUUACAGCUAAUUAGCAUGGAAAAAUUUUAUAGAACUUAGACUUGGUGCUAGUUUUUAAAAUUUCACCAUACUAGAAAUCAUAGGUAUAUAUAUUCUCAAGCUUUCUUACACUACUACCAUUUAUUUGUUAAUUUUGAAUAAACGCGCCCAUGCUUUUCGAGACUUCGACACCUCGAUACCUCGGUUCCGGAAGCUGAGAUGAGGGCGAUAUAGACCGGCCUAGGCCAUGCUGGGUGUGUGCUAGGAAUAGAGGGUGAUUGGGCUACGGUGAUUGGCUGAAUCCAGAAGGGCACUGACGGUAUGGGUGGGUGCCACUUCUUGCUUCAAGACAUCCGGAUCAUGGUUAGUGGCGGCAUAGCGUUCCAGGCCAAGUAUGUUUAUAGAGAAGCUAAUAGAAUCGUGAAUUGGGUAGUUUCGUAUGUGGCCGAUCACUCUAGAAGAGCCCUGUGAGUUGAUGAGAGAGAGUUGCCUAGAGCGCUCUGUGAUCUGCUGCUUUUUGACUAUUUUGGAUGUAUUUAUGCUAAAACUACAUGAAUCAUCCAUUCUAGUAAAAAAAAAAAAGAAAAAAAAAAAGAAAGAGAGAGAUGCCCGCGAAUAAAGGUCAAGAAUUAUACUAUUCAUGAACACCACCGAAUCUAUUUUCUAAGCUGUAGGAAGUUUCUACAAGGUUACAAAGAAAUGAUUCUCCAGCCCCGCGCAUCCAACGAACGUCAGCAAGUAGAAAGGCUCAAAGGGCAGCACUUAAUUCUUUGCAAGAAGAAAAAGGGAAUAAAGCAGCCACGAUUGGCCAUAUAUAUUGCUUCUGUCUCAAGUGAUGGCUGCAUAAAAUUUCCCCAGAAUCUCAUUCCCAUCCCUACAAACUCUCUCCAUUCCCUUUUUUUAAUGUAAAAUUCAAUAAGGAUCUCUCUCUAGCUCACAUCUUCUGAAUUAUUUGGCAUGAAAUUAAAUACUACAAUGAUAACUUCACUUUGGCUCUUUCACCAACUGCAUGUGCCAUGUUCUAACUCACAAAAGUCCCAUGACCAUUCUUUCAUGUCCAUCCAUGCAUCAUCAUCCACCAAAUCCUUUAACCAACCAAAGCAACAAAAGAAAACGUAGAGCCUAGAAAUUAACCUUAAACCAUCACAGCAGAUGUCCAAAUUGUACAGGCUAUCACACUCAAAUAAAGCUAUAGUCAUGACGAUACAUCAAUAACCACCAUGUUCCAUGAGCAUUCUCCCAACACAAUGAUAUCUAGCCACCUAAAAUACAAGAAAUGACUCAAUAAUAGAGCAGGAGCACUGUCUCUACCCUGGCCGGGCCUAGAAGAGUAGCACCGCCAGCCCAGUGAGCGCCACCAUCGCCGAUGCCGGUGCGAGGCCUCCAGCGCCAGAACGGCGGGUGCCGGUGGUGGUGGUUGUGGGCGGAGUGAGCGUAGGCGUGGUGGAGGUGGAUGGAGGGGAGGGGGUGGUCGGUGAGCCGGAGGACGAUCCUCCGACCGUGACGGCGAGCUUCAUCCCACCGCUGCAGUGACCGGGUAUUGCGCAAAUGAAGUAGUGCGUGCCUGGCGUCUUGAGUUGGAUCGUCGUCGGCCCGUUGCUGUCGUUGCUGAUGGCGUUGCUUGACGAGCAGGAAUCGUAGUCGCUCGAGCUCACCUCGGUCACGGUGUGAGCCCCACUGGCGUAGUUGAACGCUGCGAUAACCAGGAGAGUGAAUUGGAUGAGAUUUGGAAGCUAUGGGUAUCUCCUCUGCAUAAUCUCUGACGUCAAAUUUGAUGUAUGCUAUAUGUGAAUGCAAGUUGUUGACGCUGCUUUAUUCCAGUUCCUUUACAAACAGAAAUUUGGCUAUGCAGCAGCACUAGUCUAGCGAUGGAAAGUCUAAAGAAUAUAAACAGAUGAUUAUGAACUGCUAUCAGUUUGAGAUCAAUAUCGUAAGAAUUGAUCCUGAAUUAUUGAAAGAGUAAAAAGGCCAGCUGCAUGACGGAAAGUCACGGGGGACCAUAGCAAGCAGAGCUAUCAUAGUCAAAAUCUCACAUGAAAGUAGUCUCUUUUUAGCUGGCGCGAUUCAACUUUUCUCUUGAGGUUGAUGUGCUACUGAGGUUGAAUUAAACCAACUACUUCCUUUAUUUUGUUGAAUGCGUACAACACAUUCAUGAAGCAAUAACUUUGUUAAUUAGCACAAGUAUUAGAUACAAGAGGAGAGAUUAAAGCUAAAAUACUUCAGAAGGCCAUAUACUCAAGACAUCUUUUGGGUUUUUGUUCAGAUAUCAGCCUUACAAACAUAAAGUUGGAGAAAGGGACAGAGACUAACCAAGGCUAUCGCCAACCGCAAAGGAUUUGCCACUGGUCCAGGUAGAGUAAUCGACGCCCGACGUCCAGCCUGAUGUAUCCCCGACGGUGUAAACGGUGGCCGAGCCCCAUGCGACGCAACUUAUGAGGAAGAGAGCACCCAAGGCGACCGAAGUGUAACCAGCCAUUUUGGGCCCUGUUCAAAAAGAAGAGAGGCAAGGGGGGAGAAGGACGCUUGAGAGGAGAGGAAAGGAGAGGAGGGUCAUUAUAAAGAGGUUGAGGGGUGGAGUGGUUGGAGUGAACAGGAUAAGGUCCAUUUUGUCCGAUAUUCCUCUAAGCUUUAUGAGUUCUGUAAGUCUGAGUUCGAUGAGAAUGCCUUAGGAAAGACUCCAUGCCUACCACGUAGAUGACCACUUCUUUUAGCUUUUUUUGUGUCCCCCCAGCGUUUAGGUCCCAGUAUCUGGCAUGAUGCCGACCCAUGGUAGGGUUUGUCAAACGACUGAUUAUAUUUGCAUGAACCUAAAGCAAGGGUUUUUAUUAUGUUGUAACAUUAACGCCGGUUGUGAGUCGAAUUGAUCAUUAACGAGGGAGAAACAUAUUAUGAAAAUGGGCAACCUGGUAGCGCAAAUAGAUGAUUUGGCCCCCCUAGGACAUCAUCUUAGGAUUCGCUCCAAUUUUAACUCAAUUGUUAUAAGGCCAAUUGGGUUACUUGUGAGACCAAGUCUUGGCUUUUUAAGAAGUUUUCUUGUCUUUCUUCAUAUAGAGGUGACAAUUAAUAACAUGACCCGUCAACCCGGUGCUCAUUUUAAGCAUAAUUAGAUUUAUCAUAAAUGAGUUCGGGUCAUAAAUAGGCUAAUCCGUCUAGACUCAGUUAUCAAACGAGUUAGAUUCAGGUUUACACCUCUAACCUAUUUGAACCAUUUUAAUCUGUCUAAUAAUUAGGUCCAAUUAUAGAUCGCCUCAUUUAAAAGGUUUUUAACUUGUUUAAAACUAACUCAACUCAUUUUAGACCUAUUUUACGACCCACUAAACUCGUUUUAGAUCUGUUUAAUAUGUUGAGAACCUACAUAAUUUGUUUAACUAGUUUAACUUGAUUUAAUUUGUUUAGUAAACAUAUUACGUGGGUUGGAGCUGUUUAUAAAAAGAUGAGGUUUGGAUCUGAAUUUUCGAUCUAUUUAAUAAUCCGAUUUGGUUGAUAAAUUGUUGACCAAACAAAUAUGUAACUUGGCCCUCUGACCUGGCUGCCACACAAUUGUACAGCCCGGUAAAGGCAUCUCAUGGUGGGAUUGAUUGGCUCAUCAAGUCAACAACUUGGACCCACCCGGCUGUAUCAGAAGUGGGAUCCUUUUUAUCCGCGCGGAAGUGACUGCACAGGGAAUCUUCGUGUGUAUGGGCAUAACUUGGUCGCCAAGGCGUUGCUUUCGCUUGGAAUAGCUGCCACCAAACGCACUUCAUCUCUCUCUUUCUAUGGCCAGCUUUCAUGGAUGCUCUCUCGCUUGUCCCAGAUAUGCUUUUCUUUUACAUUUGGGCAGCACAGGGCUUUGGGAAAGGAAUAGAACUUUCAGGGUAGAAUAAUGAUGAUGGGCUUGCUAAUGCAAAUCAAACAGGGCACAGGUUUUCCACAAAUAGGACUGUGACAUGUAUUGGCUUUUGUUGAAAAAGAAGAAUAAAGGAAGAAAGUUAUAUUUCUGCUUGUCUGUGACAAUGUACAGUAGUAGCCUUUAUAUAGACUAGGAGGUUGACGAAGUUUAGUAAGGUCGACUAAGUUUGGCACAAUCAAUCACAAAUCAAUUAAGAUGAAGUUUGGUAAAACCGACUAAAUUUAGCAUAAUUAAUCAAUCAAUGAAUUCUAACCGCUUUGAUUUCGUGCUUCUUUCUUCUUGUGAUCCUUUCCUCGCAAGAGUUGGCUAUAAUUGUGUAAACCAGGAAGUUCUGCACUACUUCUUAAAGAACGUUUCAAGAGAAUGGAUAAACUCUUGGUUGGCAAAUUGAUGCAAUACUACAAACUUCUGAAUAAACUUUGAAUCUUUUUAAUGAGCUUAUUCUUUUCUUAAAUGUUCUGAAACUCGUUUGUAAAUUCAAAUAGUAGUUAACUCAGAAAGCAUCAUUGCAAAUUGUAAAUUUAGGUGACUCCCCAAUGGAAGCAUAUAUUACAUUGUCCAAAGAAGAAUGCAUUGGGCAAAUGAUGUAUUUAUAAUUUUUUAAAAGUGAAUUACACUCCCAUGUAGUACGUACUCCCUUUCUUUCUCAGUAACAGAGGAAAUUAUGGUGUUUUCCAUAAGGUUCCUGCAGUGCUAAUCAGGAACCAACCUUAUCAAGCCAAGCCAUUAAAGGCCAUGUAUAUAUAAGUGAUGCUUAUUCCAUGCAUGCAAGAUCACCACCACAUGCUAUGAAUGAUCCCUAGCUAGGUUUGUAGAUGUUAUUAUUUGGCAGAAGGUUUGAGGAUGUGCACAAAUGAUGUUAAUGUUAAUGCGACUAGCACGGUAUUUAGGGACUUAUUUGUAUAUCUUUGACCCUUCAAUCUGCGAUAUUCAAUCUGGAUCAUAUAUACACUAAGUUCAGUAAGUGUGCAUCUUUCUUCAUUAUGUUGUUGCACAUUUGCUGAAAAAGAGGCCAAUGGAAUGCACAUCACACAGGUGAUCAGAGUGAUGAUGAGUGCACACAUUUUGGAAAAAAUAAGACUGAUUAACCAUAAGAUAAUUGGCUAGCAGAUCAUCAACAAAAAAAGAGAAAGGAUAGAGAAUGGUCUUCAAUUGAAAAAAAAUGAAAAUUUGAUUUCUUAACCCGGAGAUGAGAUGUCGAGGGGCGGCAAAGCUUCAGUUUUGUUGAAUCUGUGUUGAACCUAUUGCUGAUUUGUUCUUUUCCUGUCAUGAUAUGGCUGGAGACUCUAGUGAAAUUCUAAGGUUCCAAUACUAUAUUUCCACCUUAUUUUAAUAACAUACAUUUGUUAUUCAUCUGAUACUUCCUUGUAAGCAUGUUCAUGGUCUGGUUUUUUAUUUGGCUAUCUGGUUUUCAAACUUGUGUCUGAGAGGUAAAUAAUUAAGCUGUGUAAUCUGGUAGGCAAGUCUCACUUACCAAAGACCUAGAUUUCAUGUCUGAUUCUUUCUGGCCCAAGGUUGCUUUUGCAAAGAAAUUGAUGCCAAGUUGAAGGGUUGACUUCAGGUUGAGAGUCAUAAUAAAUGUUCCCAAAACUGAACAAUAAUAGCUUGAUUAGAACUGACUGCCCUCCUCAGUAUAGAUGGGACUUGGAUUAUUAGUUUGGUGCAGAUUAAAGCUUAUGCUUAAUGCUUCAACUUUAAUUUUUAAGUUAUGUUGAUCGUUUUCAUGUCUGGUUUUCUUUAUUUCUGAUUUCUUCUUUAUGACUUGGAAUUAUGUCAUGGAAAAGCAUGAUGAAGUUUUUGAUUAUUUUUGAGUUCUUCAUAAGAUCCGAUACAAUUUAAUGUACAUUUUGACUCUUAGAAUCAACAACAUGGAGUAUAGUUUUGGGCGCUUUAGGUUAUAUGUAAGAUCAAGGAACAUUUUGGCAACCAUUAUGCUGAAUUUUUCGAUUAAAUGAAGUUGCUGAUUGGAAUAGUUGAUAAAUCAUGAGGCAUCAUUGCACCAUAUUUUGAAAUAAUGGGCCUAAGUUGCAUGGAAGUGUUGCUUUAUAAACUGCUUAGUAAUCUUAGGGGUUCAUUUAUCCCCAAUUACUAGUCUUCUUUCCAACAGUGUCGUCCUUUUAUGCCUAUAUUUCCUUGUUGUCCUCAUGAUUUUCAAGUUGAUAGAUCUGUUCAUACAAUUAAUCUUCUUAAUACUACUUAACUCUAAUUCUGUGAGUAUAUUUUUCUAGGAUUUUUUUUGUUCUCCCUAGAGUUGUUGUUGCAGUGGUCCUGUAUCUAACAAAAGGCAUGAUUCACUGAGAAUUUUUUAGCUACUCUUGAGAAUUAGUUCCACGCUUACGAAUCUUAGUUGCUAGGUUCAAAUCAAGGUUUUAAAUCUCGCGGAAUGGAGUAUCCCAGCUUCUGUAUAAAACCUGAUGUCUGCUGUUCUGUCCGUCCCGCGGCGGUAUCCCGAUAGAUAUUCUCAUCUCUCUUUCCUCUUUUCUUUUUUCCUUCCUUCCUUGUUUUUUUUUUGCUUUUUUUCGUUCUUUUGUUUCUUUUUUUUUCUGUUACCUUCCUUUAUUUUCUUUCUUUUUUUUCUUCUAUCUUUCUUUUUUCCCUUUUGUUAUUUUUCUUCUCUUCCUUAUUUCUUUGUUUCUCUUUUCUUUCUACAUUUUUUCUUCAUUUUUUUAUUCUCUCUCUUUUUUUUUGUCCUUGGCCUUUCACUUUUAUUUUUUCUUCAUGGUUCCUCCUCCUCUUUGGAGUUCUGAACCCAUCCAGAUCUCGUUUUCUCGUAAAUAUAGGACGGAACAGGGACUUAAAACCUUAGCCCUAAUUGUCAUUCACUUUUUUCACUUCCAAAUAAAAGUUUGUAAUCACCCAUAUCACAAAAGAAUUUUCACUUAAUACAUCUUGCGAUCUUCACUUGACGUAAACGAUGAAAAGGAAGAACUGUGUAGUAAAUGAUUCUGAUGUUGCUUUUCUCCUUUUUUUCUCUGUCGAAGUGCAUGGUUAUGAGUCUGCAAUGAAGGAAUCUGCAGGCAGAUGUCAUCUGUAGCUGCCGCUCAAAUAAUUCGUUACAUGGAAUACAGAUAUGACCUUUUGAAUCCACCGAAUCCUCACUCUAUUUGAUACAAACGUUAAGAUCCCCACCACCUAGUUUUAGGACAAAAGAAGCAUCAAAAUAAGCAUCGGCCUAAUGCAAAACCCACUCCACCAACUCCCAAGCAGAGGGCCAAAGCCAAGCACCACGUCGCCGACGCCGGCACCGCAUCACCUUCUCCAUGUUCCUCUGUCUCCGACCACAGCAUCUUUUCUUGAAGCAUCGAGACCUCGACCUCGAGCAGCGCCACCCACUGCCGAUGAGCCGAGAGUCUCAAUGACUUCUCCAGGAGCAACGCGGCCAUCUGCUCGUUUCUCGCAUUUGCCAGCGACGCCGCCUUCUCGGCUUCUCUUGCUCGUGUUUGCGAGCGCCGCAGAGCUCUCAGCAGGCUCGAGUUCUCACCCCCGUGAUCCAGUCCCCAUUCAUCAUCCCACUGGUUCGCCCUGCUGCCAGGAUCGAUGUCAUCCUUUGUUAACCAAAGCUAUAACCAGAACAAAAUCUUUGAGAACUAACAAAGCUCUGCUGACUAGCCUGGGAGCUGGGGUCGGCAGUGAAUUCUGCGGCACCAAAGGGGUGGAGAUCUUAUUCUUCUUGUCAUCAUCUUCAAUGGACGAGAAGAGCUUGAGUGGAGGGGGGAGGUCGCAAUUCUGGAGGAGGUCGGCAGCACCGGAGGUGCGAUUCGAGAACUCGAAGCCCAUUAACAUCUCCUUGUCAUGGUGCUCGAAUUGCCAAUCAAACCACCCUUUCUUGGUGGGUGGACGAGACGCUGGCUUCUCAUCCAUUGGCUCAGGAGAACUGGUUUCUUUCGUGGGAGGGAAGCAGAGAAUGGCUGAGGAGAAUGGUUCCUUUCGGGGGUUGGUGGGGAAAGGAUGGUUGGAAAAAGCGUGCCGCAGGCCAUGCGUUUUCCUUGUUUAAAGGGUUGCUUGCGUUGUUACGAUUUUAAUUAUCCGGUGGGUACUUCGGUAGCGUGCCUGAGCAAUCUCCUUCGCGUCACUCCAUUGGCAUUUACGCACUUCGCACCUUUGGUUGUCAAAUGCCUGUCUAACCUUUGGAUGGCGUGCGUCAGGGCCGUCGAGAUGAUACGCUUCAGGGAUUUUCUGAAGGAAAAAAAAUUAAGAGAGAAGCCUUGGACCAUGCAGAUGGUUCUAAAAUAGUGAUGUUACUCACAGUGACAUAUUGCCUGAUUCAAUCUCCUUCGGCAUCCUGAAUAGGAUAAUCCAAACUAGAUUUUGAUGUAGUUUGACAUUUCCUAGGUAUUCCAAACAACGAUAGCUCUUAGACAAAUAUGACUGACUACCCUUUGAUCAUUCAAUGGCAAUGCAUACAAAAAUUAUUUUGCAGCUCGGAGCAAACAGGUUGACGAGCUGACGAGCAAUGUUGCUGUGCUCGACCCGGCUGGAGAAGCCUGCAUUGCGUAGGCUUCAACUCGCGACCAGUGAAAAACAACCAGAACAUGUCUGGUGGAAGGCCUUUUGAUGUUUAAAUCAGGAGAAAACAAUAGAGACUUGAGAGAAAGAUGGUAGAACUGGAGCAUAGCAGAAAAGUUUCUCAUACCUAGAACGUCCCUUUGCCUGAUAUUUAUAGAGAAGCUCAUGAUGAUCUAUGCGAUUAGGACUGCCUGAUUUCUGAACGGGCAACUAAGCUCUUUCUUUAUAUGCCAAUUUAGAGCCACAGAAACACCAGCUUGGAGAAGAUGUAAAUAAAACUAUGUAAUACCUAAGGUAGACAACUUUAUUGGAUUUAUUUUAUAUACUAUUUAGAAACUAUAACAUUGAAGUCGGACUCAACUAUAGAGUCCAAAUUAACCAGAUGUCUGCCACAAAUGCAACUAUAAUAUCGCUAUGAUCUUCAACAAUAAUAAUAAUAAUAAAUCAUCUACAGGUCCCAUGUUGGGUAAUAACAGUUGAUAUUGCUACUCAUUCACCUGGAGUACAAGACGAGGAAUGCAUGUAGCUGUCCACGUACCAUAGUCUCAUAUCCGUCCACCUUAAACCUUUAAAAUAAAAUUAAGAAAAAAAGUUGUGAAACCGACUAAAACUGGAAUAAAGACCCCGUGUCCUCUGCUUUGGAGCUUUGAAAGACUCGAUUUGGAGCUUUCGGAGUGCACAUCCUUGGGUUGUGAUAAAAGUUGCGACUAGGAGCAACGUACAUUCCUUCCUCACUUUCAAAAGCAGCCAUAGAAACUCGAGAAAUCCUUCCAAUUGAUCAAUCGUGUCCAUCCGAGGGUCCAAUACAAGAAGAACAGCAAAUUUGCUGUUCUUGUUGUAUUGGACCUUCGGAUGGAGUUUGUCAAAUUGCACCUUUCUCUCUCGACAGAGAAGUUUUAACGAGUCGGGGUGAAGAGAGGAGGGGAGAGGGAGCCAUCUCUAUUUACAGGACGGUGGGAUGAUGACGGUGAACGUCAGACUCCGAUACGGAGACGCAGAUCGAGCAGAGGCCCCAGGCGACCAACCAAUUCCGGUGAACGUCGGAGGAGAUCGUGAGUGGAACGGAGACUUGUAUAUAUGACAGUGUUGUCAAGCUUCAUAGAAGGAUAGAUCAUAGAUGUCAGCGCGUCGUGGGAAAUGCUCCACUACAUCCCCUUGCGCGAGUGCAUGUAGUCUUCGCCUACGAGUUAAAGCACUAGUGGUUCUUGUAGUUGGAAGAAUGGAGCGUGUGUACGAUGGUCGAAGUGGCUUAAUUAUCUAGAGAUUUUUACUCCCUUCAAAUAUUUGGGCCUUCCUCUAAGUGGUGCCAAAUCUUUCAAGUCGGACUGACUUCUUCUGGCAUCUUCGAAGAGCAAGUAUCUUUCUUUUGGAGGUUGACUUACUCUUAUCAAGUUCAUCCUUACAUCGUUCGCUCCAUCUUUACUGCAUGUCUUUAUUCAAGCUCCGAAUCCAAGUCAUCAGGAGAAUUGACAAGCGCAGGAGAUUCUUUUUUGGGACUGGUACCUUUUAAAUGCUCGUGGUUUAUCAUGCAAGAUUAGCUGGGAAACAAUAUGCUUGCAGAAGGACGAAAUGAGUUUCGAGGAUCAAGGAUGGCACCUAAUUUAACAAUGCAUUGCUGGAUAAAUGGGGAUGGAGGUAAUGCAACCAAUGAUCCCGAUAUUUGGAGAAAGAAAAUAGAGUUUGCCUAUCAUAAGAAGGUGAAAUUGUGCAUGUGUUGGAAACCACCUUGGAAGUGCUCUAAUUUUUAGAAAGAUGUCGUUCCAACCAUUUGGAAUAGAGUUCACUUCCAAAUCGGAAAUGGCAACGUCAGUGCGCCACUCAAGGUGAAAAGUUUCCUAUAGCUAUGCUGGAAGAAGAACCUCAACACGUGAGAAACCCUUGGUAGGAAAGCUUGGUAAAAAUAUUGGCGAAUGUGUGAGGACCAUGCGAGAGUAUAUUUAUUCCUACAUUGAUUAUUUACUGGAUAGAUCUUGGAUAUUAAUAUAGAAUAAAAAAAUCCAAAUAAUACAACUUGUGAUUAUAUUUGUAUAGAUUUAAACUUUUAGCCUGGCAACAAAUUAUUGGCUUGGCGGAUCUUGAAUGAUGCUUGAUAGUCUCUGCUUCCACCACACUCUAUUGUUCUCCCCUGCUUCGUCUGAUACGCAUUUGGCACAAAGUCUAAUCUUUGGAAUGGAUACUCGGAAGGAAUUUGCAAGUGUCUUCUUGGGUUUUGACUGGACCUUCAGUGAUCCGGCUGUCUCUCAACCUACUUUCUGCUUUGAUUUGAGGGAACCAUUACCAAAUUGGGAGAGCCUACAUAGGAAGGAUUGCUGCAGAUAAGAAAGGACCCUACGUACCAAAUUGAAUGAACCUUCUUUACCGCAUAUUUUGUUCGUUCUUCUCUUAACUUCACCGCAUAUCUUGGAAGCUGGAUGUAAUGUUUCACUCAUUUUCUUGCACUCUCUCUUUUUGUGCUUCACUGCAUCGUCCUCUGUAAAUAUAGUUCCUGAACUCCAAUAAAAGCCAGGUGGCUCCUUUUCCGGCCUCCCUUAUCAUCAAGAAAAAAACGUAUAUCACGCCUUUAGCAAAGGAUUAACUGGCAACAUUUCAGCAUAGAGAUGGAUAUAAGCUUAGAACCUUACAAGAAUAUUUAUAUAUCUUCAGCCAAGUUAAUUGAAAUAGUUUUCUUAAACAAAAAUGUGAUGUAUACAUUAUCUUAUAGAUCGCCAUAUAUGACAAUAUCUUCAAUUUGUAUGAAAUCUCAAGAUUAGGUUGACUGGCAUUUGUUGGUUGGGUUUGGUCAAAUAUCAAGGUGGAGAAUCGAAAUGCCAACCCAAGCUCGAACCAGCUUGACCUUGGGCUUGUUUUCUUUAGCUCAAACUAAUCCAAUAUUCGAUCCAAAGUUAUAGUCCAGCCUAACCCUACCCAACCUAAAAGCCUACAAAGGGGACAAAAGAUGAUAAACGGGUGUAAUUGGUAUGUGCAAAUAAAUUAGGGGAGGGGUGGCCAUUAAAUUGGAUCGAUGCAAGUAGGGUCAAAUAUUUAUCAACCCUAAUCCAUCUUAUUUAUUAAACACAUUAAAAAUCUAUUUUUUAUAUUAAACAAGUAAUUGAACCCGGUCUUCAUAAUUGGUUUAGAAAAUUACUUGAAUCAUAUUAAAUAAGUCUUAAACAUAUUAAAAUUUUAAAAAAUGUUAAAUGUGUUGGGUUAUAAUCCGUUUUAACUACUAAACAGGUUAAGACUCUAAAUAUGAAAUCGACCUAGUUAAUAAAUAAAUUAAGUCAGGUUGACCUCUUUAAAACCUGGAUAUGUUUUAUGCCAAAUCUGAACUCGCUUAAAGUUGAGGAUUAAGUUGGUAGGCCGGGUCAUAAAUUGCCACCUAUAAUUAGAAUAAUAUUUUGAUAUAAACUAAUAUGUUUGGGUAGAUGAUAUAAAUACUACUUUAGAAUUAAAAAUAUUCCAAUAAUAUAUUAUAUAUUUACAUCAACUGUCCUUGUAAAAUAGUAUGUUAUCAUCGAUUUGGGCCAAAUUAGAUCAGCUUAAUUUUUUGUAAAUCCAAGCUUGGCCCCAAUCUCAAUGGGUCGAAGAAUUUGAGCCCAGUCGGAUUUGUCAAGCAACAAUUUGCUGUCCAAGUCUCUUCAGAAUUUUGUCCUAGUCUAUUUAAGAUCAUGGAUGGUAAAGAGAGAAGCAGAGAUGAAGCUUCCUUCCAUGAGCCGUGUUCAAGUUUCCAACCAUUGGGCUCAUAAAGUCAAAUGGAAAACGAAAUACAUCACAUCAUAUGGUAAAUUUCCACGCGUCUUCCAGGCCAUCCCACGGCGAUCCACCCAUUUUAACCCCACGAGCGUUUCACGAUCUCAUCAUCCCGGCCCCCUUGCACACUGCACCCAUCUCGAUGAACACCCAGAACUAUACCUCGAUGCAACUACAGGGGGACCCACACAGACUCCACCAACGUGUGGGCCAGUAGAAUCGUGGGUUAGGGGGCCAAAAAAUGGUGUGCGUUUCCUUUUGCAACAAAAAGGGCAAAACCGCCCGCCCCCGCCAUUGACCUCCCGAUUAGAAAACCGAGUUCCUUCCCCCUUCCCUUCCAUUCCCGACCGGCGGACGGAGAGAUGAGAAGAGUCCCGGCUUCCGGCACUCCUCCACCGCCCGAUCCGUGCUAGACCUAACCCCCGAUGGAUCUCCACCGUCGGAUCCUCUUACCCGGCGACGACGACCGUCCCCGCGACCCCGCCCCGCCGUCCCCAAGCGCCCACCGCAACCUCAUCAUCAUUGUCGUCUCCGUAAUCGCCGCCGUCAUCUUCCUCUCCCUCGUCUACUACUCCUUCCUCCGCCGCCGCUGGCGCCUCCGCCACCUCCUCCUUCCCCCCGCGGCCGUCCCCGCCGGCUCCGGCGCUGCCUCUCCCCCCUCCGAUGACGACGGGGCCGCCGAGGACGGGGAGGGGCCGCACCAUGUGUGGUACAUCCGGACCGUUGGGCUGGAUGAGGCAACCAUCGGGUCCAUCGCCGUCGCCGAAUACAAGGCCGGCGGCGGGCUCCUCGGCGCCGCCGACUGCUCCGUGUGCCUCGGGGACUUCCAGGACGGGGAGCUCGUCCGGCUACUCCCAAAGUGCGGCCACGCCUUCCACGUCCCCUGCAUCGAUACCUGGCUUCGGGCCCAUGUCAAUUGCCCCCUUUGCCGGGCCGGCAUCAUUGACCCAGCGGCGGAUCUCGCCGGCGCCGCUCCUCCUCCUCCUGCUGCUACCACUGUCGGUGCUGUCUCGGUCGACGACUCGAGUUCCUCGGUUCCUGUGGACAAUCCCGACACUGGAAUCCAAGCACUGGAGAGCGAUAAUGGGUUGCAGGAUGUGGAAGAAGAGGAUAGAGGAACGGAGAGUGGAGUUGAAAUUGGAAUUUUGACUGACCAGUUGCUGGAAAGCUCUGAGCUUGCGGUACCGAGCGAGUUGGGGGAAGAUGGGUUGCAGCCGGUUCGCAGGUCGGUUUCAAUGGACUCGCCAUACUUGGGUAUUCUUCCCAUCAGAGUGGAGCCGGAAAAGAACUCUGCGGAGGAGCAAAAAGAUCCCUACUUUGGGGAAGAGCAGACAAGUAAUAACCGGGGAAAGCAAGGAAAUUCUUCGAAACAGGGUUCAUUGCGGAAGGGUCAUUUAGAAAUAGAAAGAUCUCUGUCGAGCAGCGGCAGGGGGUUCUUCUCAAGAUAUGGACGGGUGGCCAGAAACUCGAUCCUCCCCUCGUGAUGGUGGAUACAGGUGGUUUGUUUCGUUUGGUUGCCGUUAAAACAAUGUCCUUUCGAGUUUGUAGUGUCUGUGAAUUUUGAAUAUGAAGUGUUCUCAGCAAUGUGAGAGUUACUCACUGCUGGUCAUACAUUUAGAGAUAGUGAGGAAGGUUAAAAAAAGUGAACUUCCAUGUCACAGAUAGUAGGCAGUUCACACUUAUAUCGUAAUAAAUAGAACUUUGUUCUCUUAUCAAUGAAUGUCUUCACCUGCUAAAGUAGCUGCAUCGAUGUUUCAAUUUGAUCAAUGAAAAGCAAAUUGCAGCAGAAAUUAGUGCUUACUUCUCUAUCCAUCUUUCUUUAUGUUUACCUCUUUCUCUGGUAUUGGAUUCAUUCUAUAGAUUGCAUUAUUUUGUUUCCUUGUUUUCCAGUUAUCUUAGUUACAAUAUGUAAGCAGGGAUGUGAUUUUGGAGGAAUGUGUGUGGUUUAUGGUUAUGGUACAUUCGUGCAGGCAGUGUAAUAUUUUUAUAGCAAUGCUUUUCCAUGAUCUGAAAAUCUUAUGGAUGGCAUAAUUUUAUUCUUGUAGCUGCUUGCUGUGUUUGUUACUGAUCACCAUGUUCUCUGGUAAACUCCACCUUACCUGGAAAUAGGGUCCUCGUGUUUUUUUUUUUCCAGCUGACAGUAGAUGAUCAGUUAAGCAUUACCACAGAAGUAUCCUGCAACUUAAAAUUUGAAGUAGUGUAUUGUAUAUUACUCCCUUUUAUGUAGCUUCAUUAGCUGAAUUCUUUCUUCAACAGCUCGGGGGGCCUUUUUUUCUGAUGGCAGUAUUGAUGGCCUGGAUCAAUUGAAGAAGUUAUCAUGAUUCAAUUGCUUUGGUUAUAUACACUGAAAAUGGGCAGAGUUAAAUCUUGUGCUAUGGCCCAUCUAGGUGUAGUGUUAGAAGCUGGCAGCAAAUUAAAUAUUCAUAGUAGCGUUAGAUGGCAGUGGUCAAGUGUGCACAUACAUAUCGGUGAAAAUACAAGAAAUAUCUUGUCCAUCUAGGUAUAUGUUUUUCGAAACUUGCCUUCUGAUGUAGAAAAGAUCAAGUUACUCCAAUCUGCAAAUCCCUCCAUUCUAAAAUCAAUUUCAGAUCCUAAUGUUUAUAUUAAAAUCUGAAUCUUCCAUGAGAAUUUACACAGGAAAAUUUGCAUAGGACAAAUCCAUAUACUGGGAGAAAUAAUACACAUCCAGGAGGUGAUCUCUCUUGUCUGGAAAGAAAAGAUGAGAAGAAGAGAGGAAAAUAUAGAAAAAGAGAAUCUAACUUAUUCAUUCAUCAUAAAAAUGUGCCCUCUUCUUUUUUCUGAUUUAAUAGUUAAAGAGAUAAAAAGGACUUGCAAAAUGGAACUUCUCCCACUAGGACACCUGUAGACUUUUUCCUUGCUGUCGUACAGUCUGAUGGGUCGCUCCAGUGCCUCAUGAUCAGUGGUCCUGAACUCCAAUUGCUCGAGUGAUGCUGAACAAUGCUGAAUCUACAAUGUAGGAAUGGAUCGUCAUAAUGCUAGGACUCGAUCAUGGUUGUUGAUUUAAAUCAACUGCUAGAUCUUGUAAUUGCUUAUUUUAUGGAUCUUCAAGGGUUGAAUCAUCCUUGAAUGGUUGGAUCUUCCACAAUCAAGUUGUCUGCUGAAACCUUACCUGUCAAAUCUCUGGCCGCAGGGACUUACCCAAAAAAACUUUGGCUGCAAGAUUCCUGUUGGCUCAAUUGAUCUUCAAUUUUGAUGCUUUAGUCGCUAGAUCUUUGACUAUCAAACCUUCUAGUUUCCAUAAAAUUGAUUAAUAUGUAAUCAUGGUUUGGUUUCUUCACUCUUAGAAUUGUGAGAAUCUCCUCAAGUAUGUCUCCAUAUGAUCAAAUGGAGCAUCCUUGCAUUAUCAUGUGUCCUUUGGAUGUUGAUGGCGCCCAUUCUUUUGGUUUUGCCAUGUUUCUUAUCAUGUACUGCCAUGUGGCUGAAUCAAUAAAUUCUGCUCUAAUACCCUUUCUUGUGGAAUAAAUUAAGUUGAUUGGAUUUGCAAGAUUGCAUGAUCUAAAUUAGUUUCAGAUCUAUUUUUUUUAUUCAAUUUUGAAAUAAUGUUUUAGAUUUUGUAUAGAAACUCGCGUGGAAUGAAUUUGUAUCUAUAGCCAAACAUAUACUUAUCCUGGAAGUAAAUUCUUAUCCUAAAAAGAUAAAAAAAGAAGAGGACAAUAGCUGAAGAAAUUUUCUCCCCAUCCAUCAUGACCUAGUAUACACCAUUGUUUGAUAUUUCUGCUCAAGAAGGUUAAUUUGGAUAAUGAUGAGCUAGGUUUGGAUGGCACCUGACUAAAAUUGACUUGUAAAUUUGGUUUUAGUUAGUUUUGGCUAAUUUCAUCAGUUUCGGCUGAAACUAAAUAGUUUAGGCCCAAUAUGGUUUCAGCUAAUUCCAAUGAAAUCUGGCCAAAACUUACCAUGUUUAUCUUUAAGUUUUAAAUAGCUAAUUAGUUAUCCAACUUCUCUACAUCGACACAUCCAUUAUAUAUAGGUAUCUCAAUUGUACUUCAAUUUUCAAAAGUUGGAGAGGGGGAUUUUGGGUACCUCUAGGUUGAUCCUCCUCUUUGCCGGAUGACUAGUUGUCAUCACCAAAAGUUGGACAUAGUUUUGCGAUAGGAGUUCAGGGUGUGAGAAUUAAAGCCUUCAGUCAAACCACAAGCUCUAUGAGUUGUAUGAUCUUCUCCUCCAUUUAACCAAGAUAACUCUGCAUGUCAUUAUACAUUAAGGUAGAAGCCAUCCUUGCCUUUCCCCUUCAAUGUGCUUUAAGCACCAAAAGCUUUUCUAUUGUCCACUCGUACGGCUUGAACCACAAACUAUGGCUCCUAGAGAUAGGGCCCUAGCCUUUGAUAUGAGCUUGAUCUGAUUAAAGAGAGAAAGAAGUAAUUCUUUCAACCUAUUUAACUCGGACUUCCCAAAGAAAAUAAUAGAAAAUCUAAAGAAUUGUGAAAGUAGGGUUCUAAGCCCUUUUUGCUUUCAUUAUUUGAAUAAGUGAUUACACUACCUCUUAUUUAUAGGGAGGUCCGACUCCCCCAAUCCUGGUCUUAUUCCUCUCUAAUCAAACAAGGUUAGAAUAUUUUAAUGCAGUAAAAAAUAUAUUAAAAUUAAAUUUUUCCUAAGCUAUAUUGUAAUUUUUAUAUCAAUUUUAUCUCCUACCAUGUCGUCAACUGGAUUGGAAGUUAUAGGUGCUUAAAGUCUUGCUCAAAAUGGAAAGUUUUACUUUGACUGGCCCAUUUUGAACCCAAAACAUUGUUGAGGAUCCAUGUCAGUGGGGUGUGAAAACCCCCUUUAGGGGCCAUGGUACUGUCAUAGUACUCACUAAGAUUUUCUUAUAUUGUCCGGUAUGUCGAAAACGGAUACUAGGUGAGAAAGUUAUAGCCUCCAGAAGUUAAACUUGGCAAUUGAGUCUUGGAUGUGGCGUAUUUUGCUUCCAACCUCCCAACCUCCAAAUUCUCUCCUUUUGAAGCAUUUGUUCUUCUUUCCACGUUGUUUUCGGUUUUACAUUCAUUCUUCCAUGUGAAAAUCAAAUUUCUACUGAAUAAAAACUUGUUUUCUUAUGAUACCUCUUCUAUUCAUUCUUUCUAUAAAAUUGAUCGUUUGGCUGAUUUUAGCAAGGAGAUGCUUACUUCAUAUGUACUGCUUAGCCACUUUGCAUGGCCACUUUGAUCCAUAGUUGAUAUGGUAAUUGCAAAUGCAUUGCUUAAUCCAGGUGAUUUAUGAUGUAAAGACAGCCAAAAUAAGGUUUUUUUACAAAGCACUGCAUUUAUUGAAGAGGUAGAAAUUAUUUCAUGAUGGAGGAUUGCAUGAAAUCUAAUGUUGAGUGGAUUUACCAUUUUGGCUUUGAAAUAGGGAAUUUCUUGCAAGUAUUUUAAUGUGAAACCAAUAGUAGAUCAGGAGUUUUACAAUGACACUCUAGUAUCUUAGUAAGUUAAUUGAAUGGUCGGUACAUUCUUGGAAUUGCUUUCUUCGUAUUGUGCAGGGACCAAAUUGCUGUGCACAAAAUCAUACACUGGUCAAUUUUUUGUUGCUUUCUGCUUUUGACAGGUCUGUUUGUGCCCCUUCAAUAUUUGCAUGGUAAACACAAAAAGACGGAGGAUUUUAAUGCUGAAACCUUGAAAUUUGAACUUCAAUAAGUGGAACUUAGGGCUUACUUCAAAUUUUCUCUUUUGUUCACUUCGUUUGGUAUAGUGGCACCUUUCUAGUAACAUCAACUUGGAUCAAUCCGACCACUCAUGUUUAUCAAUAACAUCAUAUGUCGCAUCACAUGCUUCAACUCAAAUGUUAUAUAGCCAUUUAUCGUGCCACCUCUGACUUCAAUUGUUCAAUUUUCAUUAUCAGACUCCUAUAUUAUAAUCAUUUGAACCUCUCUUGGGGCUCAAUCUAUUUUCAGAAGAGCUUUCAUAUCCAGUUAAGCAUUCUAGAGAAUGUUGGGGUUUGGUGAACAAGGUUCCAAAAUUGUAUAGUGAUCAGCUGCAGCAGCCUAUAAUAUGCUUCAGCAUUUGCUUUCCUGAAUGUCGAGCUCCUUUGGAUAUAUUUGACAAGAAACUUGCAUGAUGGAAGCAGGCCGAGGGAGGUUGACAAUAGUUAACAAUAACCCGUUGGCCUUUCUUUUUAAUUAUAUACCUUCCUUCUCCCCAAGUGGGUGAUUGAAAAAGAUGACUGGUCUCUGGAAUGCAUUAUUUUGGCAAGGUUAUUAGAGAGUAGCCAUGGGUGCAGGACUAAUUAAUUGGAAAAUGGUUUGCAAAUCGAGGGUGCAGGAUGGUGUUGGUGUGAUCAACUUCUUGAUGUAAACAGUGGUCUACUUGGUAAAUGGCAGUGGAGAACAUUUUGAAAGGGAAUCUCCCUGCUGAAGGAAUCGACUCUUGAAGGACUGACUUCUCUGACAUUCCUUGACCCUUCCCUCCAUGUUCCUGUCCUAGGAAGGAGUUCUCGACAUGUUGAAUGCCUUUAGUAAUGAAACCUCGUUCAGGUUGGGAGAUGGGAGGUUAUACUAUUCUAGAUGGAUAGAUGGUUUGGAGAAUUGUCCCCCGAACCUUUCUCCUAAUCUGUUCCCUGUUUCAUCCAAUUCCAACUUUUGGGGAGCAAUAUCAUUAGGAAAUUUUAAGCAAUGAGGGUUUGUCUUGCCUUUUUAGAAGAUUUUAUUUAUUUGAGAAAGAAGGGGAGGAAGACCUGCCCUCUCUAUAAUUAUCUCGGCCCAAAUUCUUGGAGAUUCACUACCCAAGACUUGAACCCAGAAUCUCUGGUUGCUAAGCAGAGGGGUGUUCCAAACUUCUCGUCUUACUUGGCUAGGUUCUUGAAGGACCUUCCUCUUCUCCUGUAUGUCCUUGUUGUCAAUGAUAACCAGUUUUGGAAGACUCCAGUUGAGAAAAAAAGGAAUUGUUUGGUGAUAACUAAUUGCGCCAGACUGAUAUACUUCUCUUCUUGGCUUCGCUUUAGUAGAAUAGUUUGAUUGGAAGAUACGAAGAUUUGAUAUCUUAUUUGUCCAGUCUCUGUACAUGUUUCUCAAUUUUGGAGGGAUUGUUUCCCUUUAUUCCAAUUGUAUUUGAAGUUGUUCGGUGCCCCUGCAGGGUUAAGAUUUUUUCUUAGUUGUGCAUCAACAGCUAGAUCUUUAUGAGGGAAACAGGACUGGAUAGCACCACCCAGUCAGGUGCUCUACAAUGUUCUAGGGAAAAUUGUUAUCCUUCUUAUUCUUUGUCCAUUUGUGGAUUCAUAUGGAGAAAUAUGAGAGAGGACUGGUGAUCCAGGGGACACUGGUAGCUUUGUAUCCUUGUGAUCAGAAUGGCAGAUUAGGAGAGUUAAAGCUUCCCCGGAACUGGAGGGAUGUUCUUGUCCUAGAGGUCUAGAGAUGCUUUUGGCUGGAAAGAACUUAUGGAAUCUUUUGCUAGGCAGUCUUUUUGGAGAGGGUCCUUACUAAAUGUUCAGAGCUCUUUCAGUUUUGGAUUUUGAAUAUAUCCGAAAGGGCUGAAAGAAAGCUGACGGGUGUGGUGCACUUUUUAGUGGUUGACCACACCUAAGAUUUUUGCCUGCUGACUGUUGGUGUCCUCUGCUAGGGGUGGUGCCAUGCUGGCAUAUCAUUUUGUGCCUUAUUUUUUUUUUUCUCUUUUUUCAUUCUUCUCUAUUUUUUGCUGCUCUUUCACCUUCUUUAUCAAAAGGAAUUCAGAUAGGCUUCCAUCCUUUACUUCUCCCCCCCUCUCUCUUUUAAACAAAAAAGAAAAAUAAAUAAAGAAAGAAAGAACAGAUUAAAAUCUGAAUCUUCUGGGAAUGGAUUUGAUUCAUCUCUUGGAAUAGUGGAAAUAAUAGGAUUUGUUGUUUUCAAAUUUAUAAUUGAUUUAUACUUUGCAGUAUUGCAUUAUUUAAGCAAGUGAAGUACUUCUUUUGUAAUGUUUGAAACUUGACUGCACUCUGCACCUUUAUAGGAGAUGCUACAUAGGUCAACAAUUGAAUUUCACAUUUCAAUUAUAUUAAUUACUAACAACUAGAAUAAUUAGGGUGAAAUCACAUAUGAAGCAGUUGCUCUUAAUCUUCAUUGUCUUUGUUAUCUUAGUCAAUUAGAGAGACUACCAUGUUUCAAUAUGAUUUUCAGGUCAACAAUAGUGUCAAAUGCCAGUUGUCACAGAACAAAUCUUUUCACGUAUGGUUAUAGAUGCUGAAAAUAGGUCAAAAUUUUUUGAUAGAUGAAUGCUGUCUUCCUGCGACAAUCCCUCAGUUUUCCUCUUUGGAGCACUAAAGCAUAGGGGACAAAAUCAUUGCCAAACAAUUCUCUGUUUUGGUACUGCCAUGCUAGUGAGUCAUAUCUCAUCUGAGAAAACUAUUAUUUUCAGCAUUUUUAUCAGUCAUAUUUUGAAGUAUUGUUGCAGUAUAUUAAGUUUCUCAGCUUUUGAAAUACUUACUAGUCUUAUCACUUGUUCCUCUGUUUUUUUCACAUUUACAGUCAUUUUUGGACAACAUACAUACGUACAUACAUACAUAUAUACUCUCUCACACACACGCGCGUAUACGUAUACGUAUAUAUGUGUGUAUAUAUAUGUAUAUGUAUAUGUAUAUAUAUGUAUAUAGUUACUCCCAUGUCUCCUCAUUUUAUAUUUUUAUUCAGGUAUUUAAGAUCUUAUAAUUAUCCAACCGUUAAAUGUUUCCAGUUUUUAUUUAUUAUACCUUGAUCUCUAAAGCCAACCAAAAUGGUUGGGAAAAGGCUUGUUCAUUAAUGUUACUUCCAGAUCUUAUGAGUCAUCAAAAUACGUGUCAUUAUUCUUUAACAUGUGUAUAUCUCUUUCUUUUGGAUAUGAAAUCACUUGAAAACCAAAUUUGCUAAAAUAUUGGCAACAAAAGUGUAACUACAAGUCUGAAAGUGGAACUUUCUAAUCUUUGUUCCUUUUUGUAUGAACAAAAGUGUAACUACAAGUCUGAAAGUGAAACUUUCUAAUCUUUGUUUCCUUUUGUAUGAACAAAUAGACAAUGAAAUGAAGAUGUUGCACCAGCUGUAUCUUGCAGCUAAAUUAUACUUGUUCCCAUGAUAUAUUUCCUUACAACAUUAUGAUAAUUUCUAAAUUUCUAAUUAUCAUGUGCAUGACAAUAUGAUGAUAUGCACCUUUAUAAUGGCUAUAUUUACAAUUGUAAUGCCAUUGAUACUCUUGCCACAAGCUGCUUAGCUUGAUGGUGGGGGCAUUUAGACCAUACUGCCUUUCUGGUGGAGUUGGUGGGAUUUAAGCUUUCAUAGGUAGUGGAAUUAUGUAACUGAAAAAAAAAUCAUUGGAAUGCUGUCAUGAGCUUCGAAUCCUGAGACAAUCUGACAUGAACCAUCUCUUUGGAUGUGAAUAUGAUGGAGUUAAAUAUCUAGCAUGAAACCAAAGGCUGAUGUAAGCUCCUAGAGGUAUUGAGUAUCACUUGACAUGGUUCAAGCAGGCACUGUCUGAUCGUCUGGCAUUUUACCUCUAAAAAGUGUUGGAAGAGAUUGUUGUAGUAAAAGUAAACGUAAAUCCAGUGGCCUUAGUGGAUGCCACUGUUCGGUUCAAACACGCACAAAUUAGUAGUUUUACAAAGGCUACAUGUUACUGCAUGAAAUUCUGACAUGCUGCUUCGAACUCAAGAUCAAUCAUAUCAUCAUACACCAUGAGUUUGCCUUGGGAGGAUGGUCAAGUAAUGUGACAUAUAGCAAACCCACUAUAAGGAAAUAUGAGGAUGAGAGAUAUGGUAUAGCAACCAUGGCACCGGAUAAACUUAGAAUGCUGGCCAUUAUUCUGUCCAUACAUGAGCUGAAAAAGGAUGUAAAAGGCCUAAUGGUAGUUUAUCAACAUUCAAAAAGAAGGUUGUAAAUUAGAUGAAGAAAGCUGUCAAAGGCCUCAAGCAGGUCUCUUAAAAAUCAAAGUAAAAUACAAUGAUUCAAACUGUAUGAGAGUAGUUCAGAUAAAGAUGGGUUAAUGGUUAAUUGCUUCAUGAAAAAAUGGAAAAACUUCUAGCAUCUCCUAGCAUGUGUCUAGAUGUACAACAUGUUAUAUUCUUACCUAGGUCUUUGGUUGUGUAAUAAAUUUCAUAAAGCUCUAAUUUCUUUUUUAUUAUAAUUUUCCAAUUUCAUAUUUUUUCUUCAGAAAAAACUCAAAAUCCUUAAAUUUUCAAAAUUUUGAAUCAAGAAAGAGGAUGGAAUCAUGGUUCUGAAAUGCAGAAACUUAUAACCUUAGUGAAAGUGAGGAAGGCCCAAACAUAACCUAUAUCAAUUUCCAAGGAUUUGCUGCUGGAAAAAGCCAAAAAUUAUUUCAAAUACUAUUCACGAUAAAAAAAAGCGUGAAUGUAACACUACAUGACACGACAAACAAUUUUUGGCCUUCCCUGCAUUUGCACGCUCAUAGGUCAUGCCUGUGCUUAAGGCUUGUUCCUACUAUUUGAGGUCAGCUCUAUGAAUCCUCAUUCACCAAGCAUUCUUUUUUUCUUUCAUCCUAUGUAAAUUAUAGCUCUACUCUACACACACACACACACACACAUGUAUUCAUGUACUAAACCAUCUCUAAUUGUACAUGAAAAAAUAACAAUCUGGAAGCAUCAACUCCUUCCAUUUAUAGUUUCACACUGCUUCAAUAUCAAUCGUGAUGAAUAGCAUUAACGUAAACAGUGUAAUCUGGAAAUUUAGGGUAGUAGUACUGGGUUCUGGAAAGCAGAACUCAUAAAAUUAUGGGAGCAAUAUAGCUUAUUGUGUCUAGUUUCAGAACAACUGACCUUAAGGCUCAUGCAGCUGGGAGUAAGAUGUCGAUUAUGUUGUUUGUCUUUCCAGUUUUUAAAGAUGUUUGAUGCCAUUUGCCACCAAGUUGUUAGUAACUAUAGAAAUGACUCCUUUAGAAUCACAGACUUUAACCUGGCAGUAAGAAAUAUUUAGCCUACCUUGCUGAUUGAAAAGGCAAUUUUCUUUCAUCAGUUUUUAACAUUCAAAAGCAUUUCCUGGCUAUUUUUAAUCUAAAGAAACCUUAUAUCUAGAUGAUUUAUCCUAUAUAUUAAGGGAUAAGAAGAAACCGUGUAACCAUUCUGGAUUUAUAGGGUAAAGCUAGUCAUUCAUAAUUUAUUUAUUUCAUUGGUUGAUUGCAGUGCAUUCUGGUUUUCUCUUAGAAUAUCCUUAGGACAAUAAUUCCAACUUCUUCUUGAUAUUGUCUUACGCAACUUCAGCAUGCACUUCUUUUAAGAGAAGCAACUUCAUUAUGCACUUCAUGUCUGCUACUUGACAAGUUUAGCAGAUUAGAUGCAUGGAAAAUCACAUGUUAAGCAUCUAUAACAUGUUUGGUCUAAAUGCCAGCCUUAGAGUGGCAAUCUUAUAGAAUCAUCCAAGCAAAGAAUAAUGCUAAAGGCAAAGGCCCAUGUCCUGGAGAAGAUAAUGAGGGCAUGAAUAUUUUGGAAGCCAGUAAUUGGCCAAAAGAGUCGGCAUUAAAACUACUAUAGUGGACCAUUAUACUCGUUAUCUAACUUGCGGCUGCAUACUAUUAUAUGUUCAAUGACAGCUGAUCUCUCCAAUUAAGCUUGACUUUCCGACCCCUGUAGUUUUGUCAGCUUCCUGCACUGAAAUUUCCUUCUUUAAACAAUUUUCUUUUGAUUUAGAAGGGAGAAUGCAUGAGGUCAUGAACUUAUAUUACUGUCCGUUUUGUUUUGUACCGUUAGAGGGGACCAUAACUCUGCAUCAAAUGUAUAUGUCCACAGGUUGUUGAAAAUGCUUUGCCACAAAUAUCUUAUACAUGAUCUAGCUGGAAAUUGAUGUCCUUAUUUGCUAAAAUCUAAUUGCUUACUAAUGGUAUAUUGUGGUCCUCAACAUCUAUUCUUAGCUCUAUUCACCAACGCAACCUGCACGUAGCUUCUUGAAAAUAAAUGUAUAAAACAAAUAGGGCUUUCUGAGGUAUGUUCUUAAGCCAUGAGGCUGGAGGUUGAACUGCAUUACUUGGGAUAUUUGUUGGUCAAAAAAGGCUGAGUUCAAAAGAAUUGCAACGUGAGGGUGCAAAUACUAUUCGUUCUACUCCCUGUAACACUUCGAUUCCAAAGUUGAAAUGUUGUUUGGUUUUAGAAAUCCCAGUGCUUAUUAUUUAUUUUUGAGAACCAUGAAAUAUCAUAAAUUAUAUUUUAUAGUAGUACAUUAUGACAUCUCCUACCUUUCACAAUUAUUAUGUUUGAUUUUGAAAUCUGUGGUGAUGCUGGAUUUUUUUUUCUUUCUGUCUUGCAAGACCUACUAUAGGCUGUGGAAAGAUUUAAAAUAUUGCUUUUGUUUCUCCAACUACUCUGAUUGAAUUCCUUCCGUUCUCUUUUGUGACAUCAAUUAUAAAUUCUAACCGGUAUACAUCUGAAUAUCUUUCCCAUCUAUAUUUUGUUUAGCAUGAUUACAUUUCUUCCUUGAGCAGCAUUCUCCAUUAAAGAAUGGUAAGUAUAAUUGUACUGGUUUAAAGUAAUGCAUGUCUGUCUGCAUACUUUGCUCCACUAAGCCAAGAAAUUUCAGCAAUUUAAUUGGCAGAAUUUUCUCCAAAUUCAUUGUUAAGAUUAACCUCAUUUAAACAUCAACCGUUUACAGCUGGUCAUCAUAAUAAAAUGGUCCCCUUGGAUACAACAAAUCGAUCAAGUGAGUGCAAGUUUUUAAUUCCUUUAGCUAGCUGGUAAGAGUGAAAUAUUAUGUGCUUUCUUCUCUAUUUUAUCUAAAACUGUUUUACGUGCAAACAUGAUUUCUUGGCCUUUCCAUUCUUUUCUUGUUGCUUCUUUAACUUUUAAAUAGCAAAUCAUUCAAUUGAAAACACUAAUUUGACACAAUCUGCUCCUCUGAAGAGUCAGGAGGAAGGGAGCAAUAAAAUCAAGCCCAUUUUUCAGGCAAUGUAUUUGGUGGCUGGCUAGGCAAAAAACGCAUCAAAUUGUUGCUAUCUAAAGUCCUGUAUACCAGAGUGCCUUUGGCUGAGACAGAGAAGAUACCUUGGAUUAAUAAUAGCAAAAACAAGUGCAGCCAAACAUCUGCAGAGGAUAGUCAAGAGAUACAAUGACAUCAUUGAUUUUCUUUCAGGCCUUGAAGUUCUAAUAUUCGGUCAUUCUGAUCCUGAAGAUCCAUCUGAUGUAUCAGUUCUUGGCAUCUUUCUCCAGUGCAACGUCUGGAUCUUUUUUUCUGUGAAUUCUUUUUGAAUUGCAAUGGCGCAGUUUUGAGUGUCAAGACAAUUGAUUGUCUUUAGAAACUCAAGAAUUCUUCAGGACCACUUGAAAUCUUCCAUAAUUUUUUUAGAAAAUACUAUUAAAUGACUAUCUGAGACAACUGCAUUAUUGAAUUUUUUUGUUAUAAAAUAUCAAAUGCAUACUUCAAGUCCCAUGAGCUGUCUUGAUGGAUCUGAUCAUCACCUAUUUCAUUGCCAUCUAAUGAUGCUUCUGGCUAACCUUUUACCUUGUAUACCAUAUGUGUCAGAUAUUUUCUCGUACUCUGUUAAGAUGCAGAAAGUGAAAGGUCAUAAUUGAGGGUGUAAAUAUGGAUGAUCUUACAGUAAUCUUCAGCAUAGGCAUAUUAGAGACCUGCAUUUUUAACGUUUUACAUUUCCUUCAUUUCCCAGUUAAACAUACAAAAACCUUACUUGUCUAGACUCUCCCCGACUCUUAGAGAUCUAAAACAAAUUAUCCCUGUUUUCAUGACCUUAAACUGUCUAAAGCGUGAGAAAGGUUUCUCUUCCUGCCACCUGGUCAUCCAGUCAUCUCCAAAGGAGUCCCAUGAAUUCUGUGCCAACUUUUUUUCAAAAAAGAACUCUGUGCUAAUCCGGCCGUGAUUGAUUGCAGAAAAAGAGCUGGCUUUAGAUAAUUUCUGAAUCUUGUUUGGUCAUUCUUUGAUUCAUAAAUCUGGCCUGUCUGUGGACAAGACUCCCAAGAGAUGGAAAAACCAUGCUGGUUAUGGAUGUCAGAAGGUCAGAUUCUCAGGAGUCUUUUUUUUCCCAAGCAAGCUAGUUUUAUAUGUACACUCCUUCAGAUUAUCAUAGUAUUGAAUAUUGCAUCGCAUUUCACCCUAUAACUUCAGCUUACAUUUCUUCGAAAAGAACUCUGCACACACGUGUGUGCAUGCGCAUUAAGAGCAAGUGAGCUAGUUGUUCAAAGGGCUUAGCUUGCACUGCACUUUUUUAGUCUUGUGCUUUGUAGUCAUUGACCCACAGGAUAGCAAUGAAGUGAAAAGCAGCUACAAGUCAGAGUAUCUUCUGGUCCAUCACUGUGAGGUGUACACCGAAUAUGGAAGACCAAAAAAUAGAAUGACGAACCAAUGAACAAAAUGAUCACCUGGAAAAUAUGGGUCUUCGCAUGAGGGGCCAUUUGAUCAUUAUCCUUAGAUCAACGACCAUUAGAAGGAGGAUCACUUACAAGAACAGCAUGGACCUAAGAUCGAAGACUUGCUCUUUUAUUUUUUUCCCCUUCCUGUGCAUUAGUACACUGCAAAACUCCUCUUGCAGUAUUAUUCACGUCUUUAUGGAACCGCAUGAUAGUAGUUGUCCCAGGCAUUUCACCUUCUAAUCAUUCAUCUAAAGACUUGGAAAAAGACCCUCUUCACAGGAUCUCCUCACCUAGUCAAAUGACACGGGAAAUUGCACUGCAAUGCGAUGCCUUUUCCUUUAUUCAGUGUUUUAUUUUUGUCCUUCUUUUCCCUUUAUUUUGGUUGGUCUCGGUCUUUUUGAGUCCCCAUCUAGACCCAUGGGAUCCAGACAUGAUCACAAAGCUCUACCUUUCACUGCUGAAUCCCAUCAUCAUAACUCAAAAGCUCAGCUUGGCCGCUCCUUCUAAAACUUCAAUGGCAACUGUUCUCAUCCCUCAGGUGGCUUUCAUUGAGAAGGAAGUGAGAGAUCCUUCCUUAUGAUACACCUACUUCAUUUCUCCUGCACCUUUGGUAAAAUCUUCGAAUAAGCUCUUUCACCAGACAUGAAAGUAAUCAAUUGAAAAGGUUCUUUUUGAAUCGGUUGCAUAUGGGCAAAUUUUUAAAGAGAUCUCAUAGGGCCCCCUGAGUAUGUCUCUUCUAUUCAAUAUAGAUUUGAGUACCCUUUCAAGGUCUAGGCAUUACUGGCAUUCAAACCAUUAGCAUUUAAGCAGCAAACAUGAUUCUUAAAAACAUAUCAGAACCCAAGAGACUGCAACAAUAUGUCAUGAUGGCUAGGAUUACAUGAAGAUAAGAUUAGUUAAGAUCGGACUCCUCUUGAAUCUUCCCAACCAUUUGAUGGACUGCAGUAGCAAUUUCAUCCACCGAUGUGUAUUGGCAAUCAUCUUCUACCUGUACCAAUCAGAAAACACCCAAUAGAAAAGUGUAUAAUCCAUCAAACUGCAAUUCAUGGCAUCAGAGGUAAACAAUUGAGACUAAACAAUUGCGAGCUAAUGAUACCUUGAGACUAAACGAGUAGAGAACCAUUUGAUCGAUGGUGGUCACAUUGAGGUGGAGCGUUGUGAGCUGCAGGUUCUGCAAGCCCACCACUAACUUGAGCAGCUGCUUGGGCCGCCGUCGCGAGAGAACCUUGAGAUUGGCAUGGCUGUCGACCAUCAUUACCUCAAUGUCAGCUAUGGCCGACCGGUUCUCAGCCAUCAUCUCAGGAGUGUUGGUGUUGGCGGCGGCGGCGGUUGCUGUGCUAUUUCCACUUUGAGAAGAGCAUGACGAGUACUGAGGAAAGGUGAAGAAAUCAGCAAAUGGAACUGUGUCGGAUCUUUGCUUAAGUCUCUUCUGAACUUCGAGAGAUUGGAGAAGUUGCUCAAGCUCUUUGACAUAAUUUAUUGCGCCACCAAUUAUUGAUGCUUGAUCACCCUAUCCAUAUAGAAAUCAACAACUUCAGAGCUUCAGACUGAGGGAGACUCACAAGAAUUAAUUACUAGAAGUAUCUUUAUAGAUCAAGUAAUAGAGCUCGAUUAAUUAUUGAUAUGGCUGAUGUAAGGGCCUGGAGUUGUCAAAUUUCAAAUAUGUUAAACAAGAAGAUGCAUCUUUUCAGUGCACUUAUGGAGAUUGACAAGAGCUAAUUGCAAGAAACCACCACUGGACAUUAAGUAAUAGAGCUCAAUUAGUUCUGUGAGAGAGAGAGAGAGAGAGAGAGAGAGGAGAGCUUGGCUAGUUAGUGAUCGUUUCUAGGCCUUGAAUGUACGAACAUGUAAAACAAGAAAGUGCAUCUUUUCAAGCAUUUCUGCAUGAAAUUUUAGAUUCUUUGCUGGUGUAGAAACUGAAGGACACAGACCUUCACCAGCCUUUCUUGCAGAACUGCCACAAUGUCCCUGAAAACUUUGAAACAAACGCAAGACAUUUUUUGAGGGAAAAAGAACACAUUUUAAUUCAGAGCCAACAUAAAACCAAGGCUGGUAUGGCCAAAAACAAGAUCUAUCAUAUUUGAAUCGCCAAUAGAAAGAACCAAAAAAAUGGUGAGGUGCAAGUGGGGAAGAAAUAAUUCAAUAUUACAAUAUUUCAAAANNNNNNNNNNNNNNNNNNNNUCUGGACAAGUGGUCAGCUACUACAUUUUCAGAUCCUUUUUUAUCUCGAAUUUCGAGAUCAAAUUUUUGGAGCAAUAGGAUCCAACGAAUGAGCUUUGCCUUAGCAUCCUUCUUUGUGAGAAGGUACUUAAGGGCGGCAUGAUCAGAAUAAACAAGAACCAUAGAUCCUAUCAGGUAGGGGCGAAAUUUAUCUAGAGCAAAAACAAUUGCCAAUAAUUCUUUUUCAGUGGUGGAAUAGUUGAGUUGGGCGACAUUUAGAGUUUUGCUCGCAUAAUAUAUAACAUGGGGAAGCUUUUCCACUCGCUGACCUAAGACAGCACCUAUGGCAUAAUCAGAUGCAUCACACAUGAUUUCGAAAGGACGACUCCAAUCAGGACACCUUAUGAUGGGUGCUGAAGUCAAUUCAGACUUCAGUCUUUCGAAAGCAGUUACACAAGUCGGUGAAAAAUUAAAAAUAGCAUCUUUGGCCAACAAAUCACAUAAGGGUUUUGAUAUUUUGCUGAAAUCUUUGAUAAAGCGGCAGUAAAAACCCGCAUGCCCUAAAAAUGAUCGAAUUUUUCUAAUAGUCUUGGGAGGUGGCAAUUUAGCAAUUAAUUCUAAUUUGGCCUUAUCCACCUCAAUUUCCCUUUGUGACAUAAUGUGUCCUAAAACCAUACCUGAUUCUACCAUAAAAUGACACUUCUCCCAGUUAAGAACUAAGUUUUUCUCUUUACAGCGUUCUACAAUAAGUGUCAAGUGGUGUAGACAUUCAUCAAAAUUAAAUCCAAAUACAGAAAAGUCAUCCAUGAAAACUUCUAAAAAUUUCUCCACCAUGUCGGAGAAAAUACUCAUCAUACACCGCUGGAAUGUAGCCGGUGCAUUGCAUAGCCCAAAAGGCAUGCGAUGAUAGGCAAAAGUGCCAUAAGGACAGGUGAACAUGGUUUUCUCUUGAUCCUCACGUGUAAUAGGGACUUGGUUAUAUCCAGAAUAACCAUCGAGGAAACAGUAAUGAAAGUGGCUAGCUAGACAUUCUAGCAUUUGAUCGAUGAAGGAUAGAAGAAAAUGGUCUUUCCUAGUCAUGGCAUUAAGCUUCCUAUAGUCGAUGCAUACUCGCCAUCCCGUUUGGACUCGAGUAGGGACUAACUCAUUGCGAUUAUUUUUCACCACAGCGAUGCCAGACUUUUUGGGUAUGACUUGAACUGGGCUUACCCACUGACUAUCAGAAAUAGGAUAUAUAAUUCCUGCAUCUAAAAGCUUGAUAACCUCGGUUCGAACUACGUCCUUCAUGAUUGGAUUAAGUCGCCUUUGUGGUUCUCUAGAGAUUUUUGCAUCUUCUUCUAGAUGGAUUUAUGUUGGACCACAGAAGGACUAAUCCUCUUAAUAUCAGCUAUAGACCAACCGAUAGCUUCCUGAUUCUUCCAAAGGAUACUUAACAACUCUCUUCCUAUUCUUUAGUCAGAUUCGAUGCAAUAAUAACAGAUAAGGUGUUAUUGUCUCUAAGAAAUGCAUACUUCAAGUUUUCGGGAAGGUCUUUAAGUUCUAGCUGGGGAGGUUUGACAUUGGAUAGCACUNNNNNNNNNNNNNNNNNNNNNNNNNNNNNNNNNNNNNNNNNNNNNNNNNNNNNNNNNNNNNNNNNNNNNNNNNNNNNNNNNNNNNNNNNNNNNNNNNNNNNNNNNNNNNNNNNNNNNNNNNNNNNNNNNNNNNNNNNNNNNNNNNNNNNNNNNNNNNNNNNNNNNNNNNNNNNNNNNNNNNNNNNNNNNNNNNNNNNNNNNNNNNNNNNNNNNNNNNNNNNNNNNNNNNNNNNNNNNNNNNNNNNNNNNNNNNNNNNNNNUAAUCACAGCAUUUGAAGUGGCCAAAAAAUGGUCUACCUAGGAUCAUCGGGAUGUGACUUUCUGGAUUUUUUACUGGUUCAGUUUCAAGGACUACAAAAUCCACAGGGUAGUAGAACUCAUUAACUUUUAUAAUCACAUCCUCCACAAUUCCUUUGGGGUACUUUACAGUCCUAUCUGCUAAUGAAAGAGUGAUGUUUGUGGGUUUUAAUUUUCCCCAAACCCAACUCUGUGUAAAUAGAAUAGGGUAACAGGCUCACACUAGCUCCUAAAUCUAGGAGAGCUCUCCGAAUGAUGGUUUCUCCUAUUUUAAUUUCAACAGUAGGGCAACCAGGGUCCUUGUAUUUUGGGGCAAUCUGUUGUUAAAUGAGAGAUGAGGCUUGUGCCGCCAUCACAGCUUGCCUAGGAAUACUGGUUUUCCUUUUCACCGUGGUCAGGUCUUUUAAGAAUUUUGUAUAGGAGGGGAUCUGUCUGAUGGCAUCUAGAAAAGGUAAAUUUAUUUGGACAUUUUUAAAGACUUUCAUGAUUUCAUCAUACUGAGAUUUUUUCUUUGAGUCUUGUAGUCUACUAGGAAAGGGAGCCUUGGGUGUGUAUGUCUCUAUUGGUUUCUCUUUUAUUCCUUGUAUUUCCUGUUCUUGUGCCUUUUUCUGAGUGGGGCUCGGUUCAUGCUUUUCUUCUUUUUCUUGUAUAGAAAGUUGGACCUUGUUGUCCACUUGCUUGCCAGACCGUAAAGUGAUAAUUGCCUAGACUUCAUGGGUUGACUUUUCAUUCGAAUCAAUCUGAAACUGGUCUCUUGGCCCUUGAUUCUGUUGCCUACUAGGGUUAGGCACUGGCUGACUGGGUAAUUCACCUCUCUUCCUAUCCCCUAGAGAGUUAGCUAUUUGGCUCAGACUAACCUCAAGUUUUGCAAUCGCUUGCGCAUGGAAUUGGUUAGUCUAGGUUUGAGCCAUGUUGGUCUGUUGUUGCUGUUGGAUGAAGUCUUGUUGCUGCUUCAUCAUGUUAGCCAUCAUGGCUUCCAACGAUGUAGACUGCUGAGUGAUAGGGGCACUAUAAGGAGGGACAAGUGGAGCUAAUGAUUGGUUCAUCUGUGGUGGACCUAUCCUGAAAAUUUUUUUCUGAAAACCUAGUGGACCACCCUGAUGCUGAAUAGGUUCAGUCUGCCUGUAUGAGAAAUUCGGAUGAAACCUAUUAUCAGGGUGAUAAACUGGGUUGAAUGAAUUGGGAGUGGAUUUCUUAAAGGCAUUAUAUGAAUUUGGAGCAUUUGCCUGCUCAGCCUUAAUGUUGGGUAGACUAGGACAACACUCCACUAGAUACUCAGAACUGUUACACAAGAUGCAUAAGCCUUGUGGCUUAUGUUCCACUUUCUUGAUGGGAUUUGACUCUUUUUGUGAGUUUGAGUUAGUGGAAACCGUAAAAGCAUCCAACUUUUUGCUUAGAUUAUUCACCCCAUUCACCAGAUUGGACAUGACAUUUUUGAGUUCGGGAUCUAUUUUUAUUUCGUAGGUACUUGGUUCUCUAGACCCAUAAUCAUUUCUAUCUAUCUUCUGACCGUAGCUACUCCAAUUUUGGGCAUUUUUAGCUAAGUCUACAAGGAACUCAUAGGCUUGAUCAGGGGUUUGGUUCAUGAACCUACCCUUGUGCAUGGAUUCAAUCAUGUUCCUAUGUGCUGGAAGUAAUCCUUUGUAAAAGAAAUGUACUAGAUCAGCUUUGUCAAGCCCAUGGUGUGGGCACUUGACCAAAAGAUCUUGGAUCAUGGUGCGGGCACUUAAUUUUUUCAGUCUUUACCAUGGGAUAGAACUUAGCCAUGAACUUCCUAGAUAGUUGUUCCCAUGAUGUGAUGGAAUUUGGAGCAAGAGAAUACAGCCAUGCAGCCGUACGAUCCUCUAAAGUCAUGGAAAACAAUCUUAAUUUAAUACCCUCUUCAUCUAAGUUUUGAUUUCUAAACGUUUGACAGAUUGUCAAAAAUUUGUUUAGAUGAAUAUACGGUUGUUUGCUCUCAAACCUAUGAAAUUUGGGUAACAUGUUUAUUGUUGCAGCCCGAAUCUCGAAUUGGNNNNNNNNNNNNNNNNNNNNNNNNNNNNNNNNNNNNNNNNNNNNNNNNNNNNNNNNNNNNNNNNNNNNNNNNNNNNNNNNNNNNNNNNCCUCAGGAUCAAAUGGUAUUAACUUACCCCUUAAUGACCUUCUACCAUGCAUACAUUAUCAACAAUUCAUUAGAUUUGACUCCUAAAAUGAAAGAAAUCCUAAGAGAAGAGAAGGGCUAGACAAAGAUGACCACAACCAACACCACACAAUAAUUUGACUCUAUUAGUCUUAGAAUUAAGUGAGGUUUAGUAGCUUUUAAUCUAGUUGCAUAGAGAUUUAUCAGAUUAAAAAGUUCCUGAAAUUUUUUUCUAGAUUAGACAGCUCCUAAUCUUCCUUUCAGAUUAAGCUUGAGCUUACCAGUUAAGCGAUCCAGUAACUAGUGACCAGAAAAGUCUCGGGAUGUGUGGUGGUGCCAGAAGGGAUACACCGAUACCACAAUACCCGUAACAGUUCUUACUGUUGUAAAACUUUCCUAAACAUCACCAAUUACUAAAUUCUCACUAGAGUGGCUUUCAGCCGCUUCUUUCCAAGAGCCUAAUUAAGCUCGAAAAUCCUAAGACCAACGUCUAAUUGAUUUUAAUUUAAUUUGGCUUAGGAUAUGUAUGCAAGGUGGUGAUUUUUGGAAUAAGGAUAGGUAAUGACUUUCCGACCUUAUCUUUUUAAUGGAUUUUGCUCUUAAAUUAUUUUAUGCAAAUGCUUAAUACUAAAUGCAGCAAAUAUUUAAUGAUUUUUUUUAAAGUUUAUGGAAUGUCAUUAGGUUGUACUGAUUAAAUGAGCAAGCAAAUUUUUUUUAUAUAUAUAUUUUUAAUUUUUUAAUUGUAUGUUUUUGUUUUAUUUAAAUUUUUAUAUAGGAAUAACUUGAAUGUAAACUAAAACUAAUCCUUAUGCAUCAGUCAAUCUCCAAAUGCUUGUUGAAUAAGCUCUGGAGAUUACUCCGUGAGGAGUCCCAAUAGAGGUAUGAUAACCUCGGAGGAUUGUACCUAUCAAUUACUAGCAAAAAUAAUAAAUUUUUUUUUAAUUUAAUUAAUUUUUAACUUUUUUUUAAAUUUCAAAUUUCAAAUUUCAGAAUUCAAAUUUUGAAUCUAAAUUUUUGAAUUUUAAAAAUUUUUCACUUUUUUUUUAAAAUUUUAAAUUCCGAAUUUCAAAUUUCAGAAUUUAAUAACUACAAAAUUAUUAACUAAAAAUAAUCAAAACAAGAGAAAUUAAUUUAAAAAAACUUACUACCGGAGUGCGUUCACUCCUGGCAUCCAAAAUUCGAGUUGAUUUUCGUGAUGGUUCUUGCUUCUCGAUUUGCCUCCCUGGCAACGGCGCCAAAAUUUUGUUGUUCGAUUUAUGUUUACCUAAAAAUAUGCUAAACAGAUCGUUGUUAGAACCGACAAACAAAGUUUAAUUUAAUUUUACUCUUAUCUUUUCUACUUGAAGAAUAGUGGUCGUAAGAGGUCGAUCCACAGGAAGACGAUUGGAGUUGCAUAAAAAUUAAAACAUUCACUCGGAUUCAAAAUCGAUUUUUGAAUAACAAAAGAGGAACAUUACUUCGGAAAUGUUGAAUGAUUUUCUAGUUUACCAGAGAAUGUUUUCUAUUUGAAAGUAAACAAAAGACGGAUACUUGGAAUCGAAGAGCAUUUAUAAAUUUAAUGAAAUAUUUAACUACUCAAAGAAAACUUUGGCAUGGAUGAAAACAGUGCUUAAGAAAAUUGAAGCUUGGAACAUAGAUUGCAUGAAAGAAAAAUUAAUGGAUUGCAUAAAAGAACAGAAAUUAAACAAAACCUAUAACAUGGAUUGCAUAAAAGAAAAUUUAAUAGCUUGCAUAGAAAGGAAAAUGCUUACAAAAGUAAGAAGGAAAAAAAAAUGAAAACAAGGGAACAAGUAACACCUCUCGGUUGAACACUAAAAAAAUAAAAUAUUAUUUUUUAUCUUCCUUCUUCUCGGAAAACAGAGCUCCCCCUCUGUUUCUUUUGAACAGAGCUUCCCCUCACCAAGCCGAGAACCUCCCCUCCUCCUCUCUAUUUCUUGGCCUCAACCCCAACCGAGGACCCCCCUCCUCCUCUCGUUCUCCCCUUCUUAUAGAUCGCCAGAGCAUGGAACCCUUGAUUGCGCAUGGAGAGGAGGAGAAACGGCCGUGGGAUCUCGGGAGGUGGAUCCGGAUGAAGAGCGCUGCGGGUGCUUGGAUGCGGAGGAGGCUGGACCGGCCAGCGUGAUCCGUGGAGCUCGGAUGCUUGGGAUUUCAAAUCCGGAAGAGAUGCGGAAUCCGGAAGCUUUGUGGACGCCGGAUUAGAAGCGGGCGUGGGAUCCUUUCUUCCCCCUUGUUUUCGCACGGGAUGAAGCUGUGGAUCUUUGAAACGGACGACCGAAAUCGGUGCUGGGAGGAGCGGAUCCGUGGAUGAUGAAUACGGACGGGAGAAGAGGCUGGGAUGCUGGGAUUUGGGGGAGAAUCACGGGCGGCUGAAGCGGCUCCUUGAAUCGGCUGGGACGCUGCAUAUGGGAUUCGCUGGCUUCACGAGAAGGAGCUGGAACUCGGAAGAGAAGAAACGGACGGCUGCUGGGAGAAGAAACGUUGCUUCGAUUGCGUUGAUGGCGUGGAGGAUUGGAAAAUUGGCUGGAUGGCUAUGAGGCGUGGUGGGGACGCGCUGAAGACGUGGACGGCCUGGGACAAUCAAGUUGGUGCUGCAAGGGCGGACUGGGAGCUGGAGACGCGUCUGGGCUGAUCGCGAGAUCCUUGGGACGUUGCUGAUGGCAUGGAGGAUUGGGAUGCGCUGGAAUGCUGGCUUGACUUGAGCUCGGGCUGUCGGGCAUUGGGCUCAAACCCAAUGUUAUUGGGUCUCUUGGAUUACUUGCACUCAAACACAAA
rnacentral:lncRNA from 1 species